UAUUAGAGGCAUUGCCUGCCCAGUGACUAAAGUUAAACGGCCGCGGUAUCCUGACCGUGCAAAGGUAGCAUAAUCACUUGUUCCUUAAUUAGGGACUAGAAUGAAUGGCUAAACGAGGGUUCAACUGUCUCUUACUUUCAAUCAGUGAAAUUGACCUUCCAGUGAAGAGGCUGGAAUCUCCCAAUAAGACGAGAAGACCCUAUGGAGCUUCAAUUUACUAGUUCAACUUAUAUAAAAACAACCUAAUGGGCUAAAACAAAAUAAAUAUGAACUAAAAAAUUUCGGUUGGGGUGACCUCGGAGAAUAAAAAAUCCUCCGAAUGAUUUUAACCUAGACUCACAAGUCAAAGUAAUACUAAUAUCUUAUUGACCCAAUUAUUGAUCAACGGACCAAGUUACCCUAGGGAUAACAGCGCAAUCCUAUUUAAGAGUUCAUAUCGACAAUUAGGGUUUACGACCUCGAUGUUGGAUCAGGACAUCCCAAUGGUGCAGAAGCUAUUAAUGGUUCGUUUGUUCAACGAUUAAAGUCCUACGUGAUCUGAGU
rnacentral:rRNA from 1 species